GACGAACGCUGGCGGCGUGCUUAACACAUGCAAGUCGAACGGAAAGGCCUGCUUUCCCUUGUGGAUUGCGGGUACUCGAGUGGCGAACGGGUGAGUAACACGUGAGUGAUCUGCCCCCAACUUGGGUAUAAGCCUGGGAAACUGGGUCUAAUUCCCGAUAGGACUGCAGGGUGGUGCCUGUGGUGGAAAACGAUUUUCUAGUGGUUGGGGAUGAGCUCGCGGCCUAUCAGCUUGUUGGUGGGGUAAUGGCCUACCAAGGCGGCGACGGGUAGCCGGCCUGAGAGGGUGGACGGGCACAUUGGGACUGAGAUACGGCCCAGACUCCUACGGGAGGCAGCAGUGGGGAAGAGUGCACAAUGGGCGGAAGCCUGAUGCAGCGACGCCGCGUGGGGGAUGACGGCAUUCGGGUUGUAAACUCAUUUCGACCGCGAGGAAGCCACCUGGUUGGAAGGGUGGUGACGGUAGUGGUAGAAGAAGCACCGGCUAACUACGUG
rnacentral:rRNA from 1 species